UUUUGUAAUUUCUAUAUCAGUCUAUGGAAGAAGCGUAUCGAUAAAAACUUUUCUUAUAUCACAUAGCGAUAUUGUCUAAUAUCAAUUGUAAAUAUGCAGACAUUCCAUGCGGAAAAUGUUGUUUUCGGCAACGAAAAAUUAAGAAAAUACUAAUUUUAAAACUUAUUGUUCAAAUAUAAACAACAAUUGAGUCUAAAUAUACAUGCAGAAG
rnacentral:lncRNA from 1 species